rnacentral:rRNA from 1 species
AAUGUACUUUUAUAAGUUCAUUAAUUACUGCACGUUAUUUUUAUUAUAAAAAUUGGUGGGCAACAAUACCUUUUAAAUCUACUUUU